CACUUUAGCAGGAAAACAACACAAACAUCAUCCACAAAUUAUGUAUGCUGCUACAGUACAUGCCAGUUCCAGAACUUGUUGUGCAGGAUCCAUUGGCUUUUUGUCCCGGCCCAUUAAAUUUGACAUUAUUGACUGUCUGGGUGUGGACCCAUCUAUAAAAAUUCAAGAAUUCAAGCAACGGUCAUAUGAGGUUACGACCUGGUUCCAGGUGGGAGGCAGUGGCCAAUUUUAGAAGACCAAAGCAAACCGAGGGAUGAAUUAAGGCUAAGGAUUUGGCUAAUUUCUCCCCGCCUUAUUGGAGACAGAAAUCAAAACAAAUUUGGCAUAUAAUCUGAGCCCCU